GACGAACGCUGGCGGCGUGCCUAAUACAUGCAAGUAGAACGCUGAAGAGAGGAGCUUGCUCUUCUUGGAUGAGUUGCGAACGGGUGAGUAACGCGUAGGUAACCUGCCUUGUAGCGGGGGAUAACUAUUGGAAACGAUAACUAAUACCGCAUAACAAUGGAUGACACAUGUCAUUUAUUUGAAAGGGGCAAUUGCUCCACUACAAGAUGGACCUGCGUUGUAUUAGCUAGUAGGUGAGGUAAUGGCUCACCUAGGCGACGAUACAUAGCCGACCUGAGAGGGUGAUCGGCCACACUGGGACUGAGACACGGCCCAGACUCCUACGGGAGGCAGCAGUAGGGAAUCUUCGGCAAUAGGGGCAACCCUGACCGAGCAACGCCGCGUGAGUGAAGAAGGUUUUCGGAUCGUAAAGCUCUGUUGUAAGUCAAGAACGGGUGUGAGAGUGGAAAGUUCACACUGUGACGGUAGCUUACCAGAAAGGGACGGCUAACUACGUG
rnacentral:rRNA from 1 species